AAGAAGGAAAAUGAUCACUAGAAGGCUUAAAUCAUUCAGGUUCCUCCUUCCCAGGUUCUCUGAUUCUCUCUCAAGAUCCCAUCUUGCUGCAUAAUCUCUGGAAAGAAGAUCACAACGGUGGCUUGCCCGAGUUUCACCUCUAAGCUUUGAACUUGAAGCUGCAUUGAAGUUGGCUAGAUAUUUGUGCAGAAAAUUGAUGAGCAACCAGAGUCGCUUUGGUGGUCUGAAUGUCUGAUAAUGGAUAUGAACUUCAGUUGAAGCCUGGUUGACUAUGCUCGACCUAGCAGGGAGGAGAAACCCAUGGCGUGAUGGAAGAUGAGGAUCCGAAAUUGCAGAGAUGAUGUCUCAAGGAAUGAGCACUAUUUUUGGUUAUCAGGCUAAUUGAUCUUUGGUUAUUGCUAAUUUUUGGUGUAGCAAAUCAUGCUUCUCCGUACAAGUUGGUAGAGGCAUGAAGGCAAAACAACAAAAGGAAAUGGCCCCUGGUGUGAUAUUUGGUCAUGUUCUAGACCAGAGUAUCUUUAUAUUAAUUCAAAGACGGACAAUUGACGUAGAAAUGACAUGUUAGUCCAAUCUCGAAGGCUGCGGUUGCAGAGAACGAGUUAUGUUGAUAUACGAAAUCUGGGGCAUUGGCUUAUCGUGGCACCUUUAACCACAUAUUCUUCUUAUCUUUUCAGUUCUUUUAGGUACGAUCAUCUCUACUUGAUCAUUUCUGCAGAAUGGUUGUUGUUUUCUCAACUUGCAGACCAUCGUUGUCUGACAAAUGUCAAACCUCCGUCCGGGCCGACCGCCUCUUGUACGUCCCCGCGCGACACCCACGCCGGCCUCCUCCUGCACGUCCUGUGCUAUUCAGGUAUUAGGCUGUUUAUUGAAAUAUCACCACACUCCAAGAU